rnacentral:rRNA from 1 species
UACGUAGGGGGCAAGCGUUGUCCGGAUUUAUUGGGCGUAAAGAGCGUGUAGGCGGCCAGGUAGGUCAGCUGUGAAAACUCGAGGCUCAACCUCGAGAUGUCGGCUGAAACCAUCUGGCUAGAGUCCGGAAGAGGAGAAUGGAAUUCCCGGUGUAGCGGUGAAAUGCGCAGAUAUCGGGAGGAACACCCGUGGCGAAGGCGGUUCUCUGGGACGGUACUGACGCUGAGACGCGAAAGCGUGGGGAGCGAACAGG